rnacentral:rRNA from 1 species
GGUGGGGAUGACGUCAAGUCAUCAUGGCCCUUACGGCCUGGGCUACACACGUGCUACAAUGGUCGGUACAAAGGGUUGCCAAGCCGCGAAGGUCGGAAGCUAAUCCCAUAAAACCGAUCGUAGUCCGGAUCGCAGUCUGCAACUCGACUGCGUGAAGUCGGAAUCGCUAGUAAUCGUGAAUCAGAAUGUCACGGUGAAUACGUUCCCGGGCCUU